rnacentral:ncRNA from 2 species
AGCGUCUCAGAUGAGACUGUUCGUAUAUCUUCGGCAUGACGGGCCGGGGGUCUCUACAAGGAACCGAUAAUUCCUGGCUACGAGCGGCGGGUUUUCCAUA